UGGUUGUAAAGCACUUUAAGCGAGGAGGAGGCUACUUUAGUUAAUACCUAGAGAUAGUGGACGUUACUCGCAGAAUAAGCACCGGCUAACUCUGUGCCAGCAGCCGCGGUAAUACAGAGGGUGCGAGCGUUAAUCGGAUUUACUGGGCGUAAAGCGUGCGUAGGCGGCUUAUUAAGUCGGAUGUGAAAUCCCCGAGCUUAACUUGGGAAUUGCAUUCGAUACUGGUGAG
rnacentral:rRNA from 1 species